UUGUGGACUUGGGGGCAGGGAUGUUUUCUCACAAGCGUGGGGCCUUUUCUAAACUGGUAUUUGGAAUCUUGGGGAAUCAGCACCCACGUUCUGAGGGAAGGCAGUCCUCGGGAUACUAGGCUGAGGAGAAGGCAGGGGAAGAAACCCCAUCUUCUGGCUGCAGGCUGGGGGCAAGGAAGCAGGGAGGCCAGCAGUGUCUGCACGCCCAGCAGGGAGAAGAGAGGACGGUGGGCGGGCAUUGCCAGUGGGCCCACAACGGAGGCUUCCAGAAUGUUACAGGUUCUGUGACAGUCGGGCCUCAGGACAGGGCUCCGUGCCAUCCUACUUCUUGCAAUGGUACCGUUUGUCCGAGUUGGAUGGUCUUAUAUCCUGUGAAGGGCAAGUUCCCCAGGAACCGUGUGCUCUCAAGGGUUUAUAGACUGGUUUCCUGCACGACAGGAGCCCCCUGGGUUCUGAGGAGCAGGAGAAAGAGAAAAGAGGAGGAUGAUUUUUGCAAUUAUGUCCUGGGAGGCACAGAGAGCAAAUGGCAAAACGGUCUUUAAAGGGGUAAAUAUGAUAAAGACACGAGGAUAACUAAUAUGCUUUCCCGUAGACCUGGCUUUCAUUUGCUUAUAAACACCCCAAGAGACAGCCCAGAUUUAUUUAAAUAGCCCGGAUGAUAUAUAAGGCAGUGGAGAAGCAGGUGGGAAAUUGCACUCAGGCCGGCUUGGAAACAGAUGAAAGAGACAGGCCCACGGCUGCAGGGAGGGGACUGGUCCCUGGGGAGGCCUGAAGAUGGAGCCUGGGGGAGAGCCGACAGUACCUAAAUGCCAACAAGAGAGAUGGUGCCCACUUCAUGAGGCCCAGAAGGCUGCAAGGUUCUCCAGGAUGGAGGUGAAUUCCAGAGAUGAAUUUUGCUGUAUUCAACACAGCACAUUGCAUUUAAGAUGGAAGAGCCAAGAAGAAACCACCAGUCACUGGUCUGGGGAACACAGACGGCCGGCCAUACACUCUACUUGGGAAGGUACACAGUAAACUUGGGAAAGAAAGUUUGGCCAUAAGUAUCCAAACCUGUGUGCUCUGACCCAGCCGUUUCACUUCCAGCAACUUAUUCUCAGGAAGAGAGUCAGUGGAGGGUUACUUAAUAGAUCAUCCCUUGUGUGCCCAAAUGUCCAGUGUAAGGAGAUUGGCUAAGUGAGUUUUGGGGCAAACAACCAUGGAAACUGUGUUGUGAAAUGUGGUUGAUCUGAUGUUCAGUGCAGAGAGUCACCAAAAAAAAAAAAGCGUAUCUCAUAUGACGUCAGUUUCAUAUAAAAAAGGGUACGUUACUUAGCUUGGGGGAGAAGAAUUGCCAAAAUAUUAACAGUGAUUAUCUCUGUAGGUGGGAGUGAAUGGGUGUCAAGUUUUCUUCUCUGCGUGUUUCUGAAUAUUCUGUAUUUGUUAUCAUUAUAUUUAUGUUAUGCAUUAUAUGGCCUUCCCUGGUGGCUCAGACGGUAAAGUGUCUGCCUACAAUGCGGGAGACCUGGGUUCGAUCCCUGGGUCAGGAAGAUCUCCUGGAGAAGGAAAUGGCAACCCACUCCAGUAUUCUUGCCUGGAACAUCCCAUGGACGGAGGAGAUUGGUUGGCUGCUGUCCAUGGGGUCACAAAGAGUUGAACACGACUGAGCGACUUCACUGUCACUAUCGCUAAGCAUUAUAUAUAUGUUAUGCAUUGUAUUUGUUAGCAGAGAAAAAGAAUUCCUGUGACUGUUGAAGCACAUUCUCCAGUUAGCAGAAUUCUUACGAAUACUGUGAGAAUUGGUAUGGUAUACUAUAUUCUCUUGUAUUAUUCGAUAAAGAUUAUUAUACAAUAAAGUUCUGUUUAUCAC